CCCUUCGGGGACAAAGUGACAGGUGGUGCAUGGUUGUCGUCAGCUCGUGUCGUGAGAUGUUGGGUUAAGUCCCGCAACGAGCGCAACCCUUGAUUUUAGUUGCCAGCAUUUAGUUGGGCACUCUAAAGUGACUGCCGGUGCAAGCCGGAGGAAGGUGGGGAUGACGUCAAAUCAUCAUGCCCCUUAUGACCUGGGCUACACACGUGCUACAAUGGAUAGUACAAAGGGUCGCGAAGCCGCGAGGUGGAGCUAAUCCCAUAAAACUAUUCUCAGUUCGGAUUGUAGGCUGCA
rnacentral:rRNA from 1 species